rnacentral:lncRNA from 1 species
CACGACCACAGGGGUGCAGGGGUGGCCCUGACAGAAACGGGGGGGGGGGGCGAGGAAGGCGUUUGGAUGGUGUGUGCACCCCCACGCCCGGGAUUCACGUAAGGAUGAAAUGAGAACAUUUGGAACCACUGUCUGCUGAGUUCCCCCCCUCCCCCCCUUUCGUGCCAGGCAGUGGACAGCAGGGAACAGCACAGGCAAAAGUCCCGCCCUCCCGGUGCUUCCAUUCCAAUCGGGUGAGGCAGGAAAGUAAAUAGAUCAGUAAGAGUGGGAGUGUGCUAGGUGUUGUAAAGUGGUAGUGGAGAAUGUAGUGGGAGAGGGGGCGGGGGGAGUGCAGAACAGCCGUUGGCCAAGGAGGCGUUUGAAGCAGAUUCCAGGGCAAGAGGUGUGGCUGUCUGGGGAAGAGGGGGACCCCGUGGAAGGAAUAACAGGUGCCUAGGCCAGGAAGGCUGCAGGUCAGGUGGGUCCUAGGAGCUGCAGGGAGGCUCGAGUCGGGGAUGCCGUCAGAGAGGAGCCAGUCUGCCGGGCCUCACAGGCCCUGCCUAAGCCUUAGGCUCUUCCUGCAAGUGAGAUGGGGCCUCUGGAGGCGACCAGAGCAAGGACAGGAGCCGACUUCAGUUAAGCAGGAUCACGCCGUGUGGACUUAGGUUGUACGAAAAUCUCUCAACGCACUGGAAGAAGACGCAAUGUUCACCCACAUUUGGAAGACUUCCCCUCAAUAUUCAUGGCAUAAUGACUGGAUCCCCAGGAGGAAGGUGGCUCUCCCUUCCACUGAAGGAGUCGCGGUUGUGGAAGGAAAUUUCAUCACCACUGGAGACUGCAGUUGACUUUUCCAGGGACACCGCCGUAGCUGGAGACUCAAGCAUCCUCAGUGGUGGCACAUUGUCCCACUAGGAAAAACAGUUUCCAUUUUUUGGAAGUCGAGUCAGGCCCGGUGAAUACACUAAAUGUUUUAAGCUGACCUGGUGAGGGAGAAACAGCAGGGCCAAUUUUCUUGUAUGGUCCAUAAAUCAAUCCAAUUCCUAGAAAGGAAUUCCGAGAAUACUUUGGCAGCAGCCUUGGAAUAAAUGUAGAUGGCUUCCCGGGAUGACA